rnacentral:tRNA from 1 species
GGGGUUGUAGCUUAGUGGUAGAGUGCCUGCUUAACAUGUGUGGGGCACUGAGUUCGAUCCUCAGCACCACA